CGCCGUAAACGAUGUCUACUUGGAGGUUGUGCCCUUGAGGUGUGGCUUCCGGAGCUAACGCGUUAAGUAGACCGCCUGGGGAGUACGGCCGCAAGGUUAAAACUCAAAUGAAUUGACGGGGGCCCGCACAAGCGGUGGAGCAUGUGGUUUAAUUCGAUGCAACGCGAAGAACCUUACCUGGUCUUGACAUCCACAGAAGAAUCCAGAGAUGGAUUUGUGCCUUCGGGAACUGUGAGACAGGUGCUGCAUGGCUGUCGUCAGCUCGUGUUGUGAAAUGUUGGGUUAAGUCCCGCAACGAGCGCAACCCUUAUCCUUUGUUGCCAGCGGUCCGGCCGGGAACUCAAAGGAGACUGCCAGUGAUAAACUGGAGGAAGGUGGGGAUGACGUCAAGUCAUCAUGGCCCUUACGACCAGGGCUACACACGUGCUACAAUGGCGCAUACAAAGAGAAGCGACCUCGCGAGAGCAAGCGGACCUCAUAAAGUGCGUCGUAGUCCGGAUUGGAGUCUGCAACUCGACUCCAUGAAGUCGGAAUCGCUAGUAAUCGUGGAUCAGAAUGCCACGGUGAAUACGUUCCCGGGCCUUGUACACACCGCCCGUCACACCAUGGGAGUGGGUUGCAAAAGAAGUAGGUAGCUUAACCUUCGGGAGGGCGCUUACCACUUUGUGAUUCAUGACUGGGGUGAAGUCGUAACAAGGUAACCGUAGGGGAACCUGCGGUUGGAUCACCUCCUUACCUUAAAGAAGC
rnacentral:rRNA from 1 species